rnacentral:rRNA from 1 species
UACAGAGGGUGCAAGCGUUAAUCGGAAUUACUGGGCGUAAAGCGUGCGUAGACGGUUGCGUAAGUCAGAUGUGAAAGCCCCGGGCUCAACCUGGGAAUUGCAUUUGAGACUGCGUAGCUAGGGUGCGGAAGAGGGAAGCGGAAUUUCCGGUGUAGCGGUGAAAUGCGUAGAUAUCUGCAGGAACACCCGUGGCGAAAGCGGCGCGCUGGACCACUACUGACGCUGAGGAACGAAAGCUAGGGGAGCAAACAGG